GACGAACGCUGGCGGCGUGCUUAACACAUGCAAGUCGAACGGAAAGGCCCUGCUUUUGUGGGGUUCUCGAGUGGCGAACGGGUGCGUAACACGUGAGUAACCUGCCCUUCACUUUGGGAUAACUUCAGGAAACUGGGGCUAAUACCGGAUAGGAUCUCCUGCUGCAUGGUGGGGGUUGGAAAGUUUCGGCGGUUGGGGAUGGACUCGCGGCUUAUCAGCUUGUUGGUGGGGUAGUGGCUUACCCAGGCUUUGACGGGUAGCCGGCCUGAGAGGGUGACCGGCCACAAUGGGACUGAGAGAGGGCGCAGACUGCUACGGGAGGCAGCAGUGGGGAAUAUUGCACAAUGGGCGGGAGCCUGAUGAAGAAGCGCCGCGUGCGGGAUGACGGCCUGCGGGUUGUAAACCGCUGUCGCCUGUGACGAAGCGGGAGUGACGGUAAUGGGUAAAGAAGCACCGGCUAACUACGUG
rnacentral:rRNA from 1 species